CCUACGGGAGGCAGCAGUGGGGGAUAUUGCACAAUGGGGGGAACCCUGAUGCAGCGAAGCCGCGUGGGCGAUGGAGUGCUUCCGCAUGUAAAGCCCUAUCAGCCGGGAAGAAAAUGACGGUACCUGACUGAGAAGCCCCGGCUAAAUACGUGCCAGCAGCCGCGGGAAUACGGAUGGGGCAAGCGGUAGCCGGAUUUACUGGAUGUAAAGGGGGCGUAGGCGGCCUGGCAAGCCUGAUGGGAAAUACCGGGGCCCAACCCCGGGGCGGCAGUGGGAACUGCCAGGCUGGAGUGCCGGAGAGGCAGGCGGAAUUCCUAGUGUAGCGGUGAAAUGCGUAGAUAUUAGGCGGAACACCAGUGGCGAAGGCGGCCUGCUGGACGGUGACUGACGCUGAGGCUCGAAAGCGUGGGGAGCAAACAGGAUUAGAUACCCUUGUAGUC
rnacentral:rRNA from 1 species